rnacentral:rRNA from 1 species
AUACCGGCUGCUCGAGUGAUGGCCACUAUUACUGGGUUUAAAGCGUCCGUAGCUUGACUGUUAGGUCUCUUGGGAAAUCUUUUGGCUUAACCAAAAGGCGUCUAAGAGAUACCGGCAUUCUUGGAACUGGGAGAGGUAAGCCGUACUUCGGGGGUAGGAGUGAAAUCUUGUAAUCCUCGAGGGACGACCUAUGGCGAAGGCAGCUUACCAGAACAGCUUCGACAGUUAGGGACGAAAGCUGGGGGAGCAAACGGGAUUAGAUACCCCGGUAGUCCCAGCCGUAAACAAUGUGCGUUAGGUGUGUCGGUUACCACGCGUAACUGAUGCGCCGAAGAGAAAUCGUGAAACGCACCACCUGGGAAGUACGGUCGCAAGGCUGAAACUCAAAUGAAUUGGCGGGG